rnacentral:rRNA from 1 species
GUGAGGAAUAUUGCGCAAUGGCCGAAAGGCUGACGCAGCGACGCCGCGUGAGGGAUGAAGUCCGUUAGGAUGUAAACCUCUUUUGCAGGGGAUGAAUGUCUCGCUAUACGCGGGAUUGACCGUACCCUGCGAAUAAGGAUCGGCUAACUACGUGCCAGCAGCCGCGGUAAUACGUAGGAUCCGAGCGUUGUCCGGAAUUACUGGGUGUAAAGGGCGUGUAGGUGGGUUCCUAAGUCGGUGGUGAAAUCCCGCAGCUUAACUGCGGAAUUGCCUUCGAUACUGGGGAUCUUGAGUGCGGCAGAGGGAGAUGGAAUUCAUGGUGUAGCGGUGAAAUGUGUAGAUAUCAUGAAGAACACCGGUAGCGAAGGCGGUCUCCUGGUCCGUAACUGACACUGAUGCGCGAAAGCGUGGGGAGCAAACAGGAUUAGAAACCCCUGUAGUCC